rnacentral:rRNA from 1 species
GCACAGCGAAAGGUGCUUGCACCUUUCAAGUGAGUGGCGAACGGGUGAGUAACACGUGGACAACCUGCCUCAAGGCUGGGGAUAACAUUUGGAAACAGAUGCUAAUACCGAAUAAAACUCAGUGUCGCAUGACACAAAGUUAAAAGGCGCUUUGGCGUCACCUAGAGAUGGAUCCGCGGUGCAUUAGUUAGUUGGUGGGGUAAAGGCCUACCAAGACAAUGAUGCAUAGCCGAGUUGAGAGACUGAUCGGCCACAUUGGGACUGAGACACGGCCCAAACUCCUACGGGAGGCUGCAGUAGGGAAUCUUCCACAAUGGGCGAAAGCCUGAUGGAGCAACGCCGCGUGUGUGAUGAAGGCUUUCGGGUCGUAAAGCACUGUUGUAUGGGAAGAACAGCUAGAAUAGGGAAUGAUUUUAGUUUGACGGUACCAUACCAGAAAGGGACGGCUAAAUACGUGCCAGCAGCCGCGGUAAUACGUAUGUCCCGAGCGUUAUCCGGAUUUAUUGGGCGUAAAGCGAGCGCAGACGGUUGAUUAAGUCUGAUGUGAAAGCCCGGAGCUCAACUCCGGAAUGGCAUUGGAAACUGGUUAACUUGAGUGCAGUAGAGGUAAGUGGAACUCCAUGUGUAGCGGUGGAAUGCGUAGAUAUAUGGAAGAACACCAGUGGCGAAAGCGGCUUACUGGACUGUAACUGACGUUGAGGCUCGAAAGUGUGGGUAGCAAACAGGAUUAGAUACCCUGGUAGUCCACACCGUAACGAUGAACACUAG